rnacentral:rRNA from 1 species
GAUGAACGCUGGCGGCGUGCUUAACACAUGCAAGUCGAACGGAAAGGCCCUGCUUUUGUGGGGUGCUCGAGUGGCGAACGGGUGAGUAACACGUGAGUAACCUGCCCUUGACUUUGGGAUAACUUCAGGAAACUGGGGCUAAUACCGGAUAGGAGCUCCUGCUGCAUGGUGGGGGUUGGAAAGAUUCGGCGGUUGGGGAUGGUUUCGCGGCUUAUCAGCUUGUUGGUGGGGUAGUUGCUUACCAAGGCUUUGACGGGUAGCCGGCCUGAGAGGGUGACCGGGCACAAUGGGACUGAGAUACGCCCCAGCCUCCAACGGGAGGCAGCAGUGGAGAAUAUGGCACAAUGGGCGGAAGCCUGAUGCAGAAACGCCGCGUGCGGGAUGACGGCCUUCGAGUUGUAAACCGCUUUCGACUGUGACGAAGCGGGAGUGACGGUAAUGAGUAAAGAAGCAACGGCUAACUACGUG